UGGAAUGUAGCCAAAAGGGAAGGCAGCGAUUUUUGGUAUCGUGAUUAGAGGUUCGAGUCCUCUCAUUCCAA
rnacentral:tRNA from 1 species